AACGAACGCUGGCGGCAUGCCUAACACAUGCAAGUCGAACGAUGCCUUCGGGCAUAGUGGCGCACGGGUGCGUAACGCGUGGGAAUCUGCCUUUCGGUUCGGAAUAACUCAGGGAAACUUGAGCUAAUACCGGAUAACGUCGCAAGACCAAAGAUUUAUCACCGAAAGAUGAGCCCGCGUAGGAUUAGCUAGUUGGUGAGGUAAAGGCUCACCAAGGCGACGAUCCUUAGCUGGUCUGAGAGGAUGAUCAGCCACACUGGGACUGAGACACGGCCCAGACUCCUACGGGAGGCGGCAGUGGGGAAUAUUGGAAAAUGGGCGAAAGCCUGAUCCAGCAAUGCCGCGUGAGUGAUGAAGGCCUUAGGGUUGUAAAGCUCUUUUACCCGGGAAGAUAAUGACGGUACCGGGAGAAUAAGCCCCGGCUAACUCCGUG
rnacentral:rRNA from 1 species